CCCUAGUACGAGAGGACCGGGAUGGACAGACCGCUGGUGUACCAGUUGUCUCGCCAGAGGCACAGCUGGGUAGCUAUGUCUGGGACGGAUAAGCGCUGAAAGCAUCUAAGCGCGAAGCCAACCUCAAGAUGAGUUCUCCCACCUGGCACUGAGUGCCAGGGUAAGAUCCCAUCAAGACUAGGUGGUUGAUAGGCCAGAAGUGUAAGUGCAGCAAUGCAUUAAGCGGACUGGUACUAAUAGAUCGAGGGCUUGACCUUAAAA
rnacentral:rRNA from 1 species